ensembl:lncRNA
GGAAUUUCGGAUUUUACACAGGUGGUUGGAUGUUACACUCUGGAAAUGGAAGGAAGGAAUGUCACUGUGGCAAUUACAGGUGGUUAAGAGAUUAACAUUCCCUGCACAUCACCACCUGUCAUGAGACACUUCCUCAUACCAAAUCAUUCAGCGAGGAGAAAGCAGAUAAAAUGCGUGUGAGUCAAAGUGAGGCUGUGUUUGGAGGUGUUUGCGCACAGAGAUGAACACAUUUACCAUGUCUCUCUCUUUGCUACUGCUGCUGCUGGUUUACAGCACGCAAGCUACUCAUUUUUAUGGGACAGUGAUGACCUAUUACCCAGGAGACACUUAUGCAGAUGGAUCAGUUAUGGCGACUAUUCGAUACAAGCUGAACUUCCACCAAUGCACAGACAGUGACACAUGGAGUUGCCUCAGUGGUGACUGUGGCUCUGGGAACAACACACUAUAUGAGGUAAAACAGGAAAGCAGUGGAGAGUGGUGUCAGAGAGAGGGAAUCAUGACUUGAUGGGCUCCCAGCAAUGCUCCGUUCAAGCUUUGGUUGAAUAGUGGUAACUGGAUUAAUGGCAUUGUAAAUGGCAUUGUAUCAUGGAGAGCUGUGACUCUGGUGGAACUGAGGAACAGAUCUGACACCGCAAAAAACCAACUCGUCACCCCAGACCACCAACAUACCUGCUGUGAGAGUUCCCUCAAACUGUAAGAGAAAUUUCGUCUUGUUGGCGUUUGACCCUGAUGGAGAUGUGGUUAAGUGCAGAAAUGGAGAUGCAUUACUGUCAGAGUGUAAUCCAUACACUCCACCAUCUGUCCUCAGCCUCUCACCAUCUUGUACUCUGUCAUUCAGACCCACUGAUAGCAGUAAUGAAGGUCCAUAUGCAGUACAGCUGGUGAUGGAGGACUUUCCCCGGCAGAACAUAACCCUGACUCAAACCAAUGGGACACAGACUAAUCUAACUACCAACAAUGCAAUCAGCAAAAUACCGGUCCAGUUCGUUAUAAGGGUGGAUCCUGCAGUGCCAUCCUGCACAGACGGACUCUAUCUGCCCAAGAUCCUGCCUCCAACUCCAGCCAACGGAGCUCAGCUAUAUACCCCUGUUGGACAAACUCUAGAAAUCAGCAUCAAAGCAGAGGCAACAAAUUCCAUGUAUGUGAAAGAGAAAACAAAAUUAAAAUACCAAAGUUUAAAGAUAGGUUUUGCUACUGGCAGCGGUUGGACAAGAAAUACCACUCUACGUUGGAAGACUUUCUAUACUCUCCAAAAUGUGAUACAGGAAAAGACAAGACCAAGAACAAACUUGAAUACCACCUAACAUUCAGAGUAGUGCUGUCAGCGUUAAUCUCGUUAAAAUGGCGUUAACGCCAUAACCGCAUUAACGUGGCAAAUCUCUGUUAGCGAGUUAACACGGAUCGCCCCAUGUGAGGUGCUGCGAGGAGCUAACGCGUUAACGAGUUAACCGUGCUAACGCAUUGGCGCCAUGCAGCCCUCGAGAUUUGCCACAUUAAUGCAGUUAUGACAUUAACGUCAUUUUAACGAGAAUAACGCUGACAGCACUAAUUCAGAUACAUAAAAAACUUGAAAAAUGUUGAUUUGACUACUUUUAAGUUGUGUGGAAUUACAGGGAUUAUUUUACAUAACCACCAUCUUAUCAUUGCAUUAAUUAUCAUUUCAUCAAAGUGUUUAUUGAAGCUGCUGGCAUUAUGUUAUAAUUUAUAUUAUAGGGGUUAUCCUAAUCAAAUAUUAACAUGUUUAUUACAGGUGCAGUUAUAACUACUUUAAAAUGAUUGAGUUAAAUAUAUAUGUAUCAUAACUCAUAUGCUGAGUAUAUUGGUAGAGUAAAAUAGUAGCUGAGUAAAGGCCUGAAUGUAUUCAGCUUCUUGUGGUAUUUGAGUUUGCUUAGUUACAGGUGACGGAAGGAUGUCCAGUCCAUGGUGACCUCAAAAGCCUUAGGUCAUCACCAUAUUCGGAAGAGUAUGCCACAAGGAGGAACCUCUAUGUUGCAUUUAAUUCUUAAAAUACAUGAAUGUUCUG